UGGGGAAUAUUGCACAAUGGGGGAAACCCUGAUGCAGCGACGCCGCGUGGAGGAAGAAGGUCUUCGGAUUGUAAACUCCUGUUGUUGAGGAAGAUAAUGACGGUACUCAACAAGGAAGUGACGGCUAACUACGUGCCAGCAGCCGCGGUAAAACGUAGGUCACAAGCGUUGUCCGGAAUUACUGGGUGUAAAGGGAGCGCAGGCGGGAAGACAAGUUGGAAGUGAAAUCCAUGGGCUCAACCCAUGAACCGCUUUCAAAACUGUUUUUCUUGAGUAGUGCAGAGGUAGGCGGAAUUCCCGGUGUAGCGGUGGAAUGCGUAGAUAUCGGGAGGAACACCAGUGGCGAAGGCGGCCUACUGGGCACCAACUGACGCUGAGGCUCGAAAGUGUGGGUAGCAAACAGGAUUAGAUACCCUGGUAGUCCACACUGUAAACGAUGAUUACUAGGUGUUGGAGGAUUGACCCCUUCAGUGCCGCAGUUAACACAAUAAGUAAUCCACCUGGGGAGUACGACCGCAAGGUUGAAACUCAAAGGAAUUGACGGGGGCCCGCACAAGCAGUGGAGUAUGUGGUUUAAUUCGACGCAACGCGAAGAACCUUACCAAGUCUUGACAUCCCUUGACGAUGCUGGAAACAGUAUUUCUCUUCAGAGCAAGGAGACAGGUGGUGCAUGGUUGUCGUCAGCUCGUGUCGUGAGAUGUUGGGUUAAGUCCCGCAACGAGCGCAACCCUUAUGGUCAGUUACUACGCAAGAGGACUCUGGCCAGACUGCCGUUGACAAAACGGAGGAAGGUGGGGAUGACGUCAAAUCAUCAUGCCCUUUAUGACUUGGGCUACACACGUACUACAAUGGCGUUAAACAAAGAGAAGCAAGACCGCGAGGUGGAGCAAAACUCAGAAACAACGUCCCAGUUCGGACUGCAGGCUGCAACUCGCCUGCACGAAGUCGGAAUUGCUAGUAAUCGCAGAUCAGCAUGCUGCGGUGAAUACGUUCCC
rnacentral:rRNA from 1 species